AUACCAAUAAGCGGAGGAAAAGAAACUAACAAGGAUUCCCCUAGUAACGGCGAGUGAAGAGGGAAAAGCUCAAAUUUUGAAUCUGGUGUCUUUGACUCCCGAGUUGUAAUCUAGAGAAGUGUUUUCCGCGUUGGACCGUGCAAAAGUUCCCUGGAACGGGGCGUCAUAGAGGGUGAGAAUCCCGUAUAUGGCACGGACUACCAUUGCUAUGUGAUACACUCUCAACGAGUCGAGUUGUUUGGGAAUGCAGCUCAAAAUGGGUGGUAAAUUCCAUCUAAAGCUAAAUAUUGGCGAGAGACCGAUAGCGAACAAGUACCGUGAGGGAAAGAUGAAAAGCACUUUGGAAAGAGAGUGAAACAGUACGUGAAAUUGUUGAAAGGGAAGCGUUUGAAGUCAGUCACAUCGGUCGGAGUUCAGCCUGGCUUUGCCUGGUGUAUUUUCUGGCAGAUGGGUCAGCGUCAAUUUUGACUGAGGGAAAAAGACUUGAGGAAUGUGGCUGUCUUCGGGCAGUGUUAUAGCCUCUUGUUGUAUGUCUCAGUUGGGAUUGAGGACCGCAGCACGCCUUAUGGCCGGGGUUCGCGCCCUCGGAACGUGCUUAGGACGCUGGCAUAAUGGCUUUAAGCGA
rnacentral:rRNA from 1 species